GACGAACGCUGGCGGCGUGCCUAAUACAUGCAAGUAGAACGCUGAAGGAGGAGCUUGCUUCUCUGGAUGAGUUGCGAACGGGUGAGUAACGCGUAGGUAACCUGCCUGGUAGCGGGGGAUAACUAUUGGAAACGAUAGCUAAUACCGCAUAACAGUAGAUAUCGCAUGAUAUCUACUUGAAAGGUGCAAUUGCAUCACUACCAGAUGGACCUGCGUUGUAUUAGCUAGUUGGUGAGGUAACGGCUCACCAAGGCGACGAUACAUAGCCGACCUGAGAGGGUGAUCGGCCACACUGGGACUGAGACACGGCCCAGACUCCUACGGGGGGCAGCAGUAGGGAAUCUUCGGCAAUGGACGGAAGUCUGACCGAGCAACGCCGCGUGAGUGAAGAAGGUUUUCGGAUCGUAAAGCUCUGUUGUAAGAGAAGAACGAGUGUGAGAGUGGAAAGUUCACACUGUGACGGUAUCUUACCAGAAAGGGACGGCUAACUACGUG
rnacentral:rRNA from 1 species